GCUGGGGUGGAUGAGUGGCGAACGGGUGAGUAACACGUGAGUAACCUGCCCAUCACUCUGGGAUAAGCGCUGGAAACGGCGUCUAAUACUGGAUACGAGCAGCGACCGCAUGGUCAGCUGUUGGAAAGACUGGUUCGGUGAUGGAUGGACUCGCGGCCUAUCAGCUUGUUGGUGAGGUAAUGGCUCACCAAGGCGACGACGGGUAGCCGGCCUGAGAGGGUGACCGGCCACACUGGGACUGAGACACGGCCCAGACUCCUACGGGAGGCAGCAGUGGGGAAUAUUGCACAAUGGGCGCAAGCCUGAUGCAGCAACGCCGCGUGAGGGAUGACGGCCUUCGGGUUGUAAACCUCUUUUAGUAGGGAAGAAGCCUUCGGGUGACGGUACCUGCAGAAAAAGCACCGGCUAACUACGUGCCAGCAGCCGCGGUAAUACGUAGGGUGCAAGCGUUGUCCGGAAUUAUUGGGCGUAAAGAGCUCGUAGGCGGCUUGUCGCGUCUGCUGUGAAAACCCGAGGCUCAACCUCGGGCCUGCAGUGGGUACGGGCAAGCUAGAGUGCGGUAGGGGAGAUUGGAAUUCCUGGUGUAGCGGUGGAAUGCGCAGAUAUCAGGAGGAACACCGAUGGCGAAGGCAGAUCUCUGGGCCGUAACUGACGCUGAGGAGCGAAAGCAUGGGGAGCGAACAGGAUUAGAUACCCUGGUAGUCCAUGCCGUAAACGUUGGGAACUAGAUGUAGGGCCUGUUCCACGGGUUCUGUGUCGUAGCUA
rnacentral:rRNA from 1 species